GACGAACGCUGGCGGCGUGCUUAACACAUGCAAGUCGAACGAAGUGGCGAACUGGUGAGUAACGCGUAAUCAACCUGCCCUUCAGAGGGGGACAACAGUUGGAAACGACUGCUAAUACCGCAUACUGAAGGAGGGGAUUGCGUCUGAUUAGCUAGUUGGAGGGGUAACGGCCCACCAAGGCGAUGAUCAGUAGCCGGGCUGCGAGGAUGACCGGCCACAUUGGGACUGAGUCCCGGCCCAGACUCCCACGUGAGGCAGCUGUGGGGAAGCUUCCGCAAUUGACGAAAGUCUGACGGAUCAACGCAGCGUGAGUGGUGACGCCCUCCGGGUUGUAAAGCUCUGUUCCUCGGGACGCGGUGCCCGAAUCGAACGCCCCGGCUAUCUACGUGCCAGCAGCCGCGGUAAUUC
rnacentral:rRNA from 1 species